AGAACAAUGGCUGGAAAACAAAAGGGUAUCAGCGUGUCGACUAAACACGUGGAGGACCAAUUAGGAUGGCAAGGUGUUUUUUUACGCACCGUCGAGGGAGGGAGGCAUGAGAAGUAUUGGGGUAGCUACUCCUCUUCUUCUUCCUCCUCCUGGUGAUGGCAGUGUAGACCACCUUUUUCGGCAAAGAGAGACUGAUGGUUGAGAAGUACGGUAUGUCUUUAAUAAUUUUUUGGACCAUUUUUUUUCUUGUUGAUAUUUGCUUUUGCUAGCUAGGUUUUUCUUUGCAAGAAUUUCUUCCCUCAAUUCCUGUUAUUGUCUCAUAUUCAUCUGAGUGUGCUAUUUAUAUUGUCAAGGCAACCAUAAAAACAUGUCACCGCUACUGACGGUACAUGGAUUCACGUGCCGCAUCCGGUGAAGCAAAAAAAUGAUGAAUUUGGAACAAUUUAUUUCCCUCUUUCUCCCGGUGUUGGUGGUGAGCUUAAUCUUUACCUGCUAAACAAAGAAAAACCACGCAAGCAGUCAGUUUUAAUUUUCUUCUUCUCCUGCCACUAGAUUGGAGGUUGCUUGAGGGUAGACUAGAGCUAGGUUUUGGUCGGUGGUCACAAUUUGGUCUUAACAGUGAGAAAGGGGAAGAGCCUGUUUAGGUCACGGUGUGUAGUGGUUUCAGUCACUGGAUCUCCAGUGAGGACAUGUUGCACAGGACACCUCUACGGCUAGUGGUGAAGGAAUCGACUGCUAGGUCUGUGGGUGUUGUUUAUUUGUUGCUGUUGGGAGUCGGCUGAAAAAAAAAAUUGUGUUAGGUAAUAUGGUAAUGAUUGUUUUUUAAAUAAUUUUUCAUACCGAAAUAUAUAUCAAUGAUGUUUUUUCAUUUUUA
rnacentral:lncRNA from 1 species